CUAUCUUUGCCCCGAAUUGGUUUCGGAUGAACGUUUUCCGUCAUUCGGAUUAAAAGGGAAUCGGGUGUAAAUCCCGGACAGUCCCGCUGCUGUGAAACUCCAUAACUUUCUGAUAAAUACUUUUGCCACUGGCUGUGAAUUGAAGGCCGGGAAGGAAUCAGAAGGGGAGUCAGUCAGAAGACCUGCCAUUCGUUAAAGACUGUUU
rnacentral:ncRNA from 23 species